CCUGCCUCUAGAGGCGUUGCAGGUGUGAUGCUGUGCUGCAAGUGCACCAGUAGGUGGCAGAGAGGAAAGACUAUGUCUACCUUCAGUGUUCUGCCCUAUGAGAAUCUGAACUAUUAGUAGCCUAACCCU